rnacentral:lncRNA from 1 species
UCAAUUAAAAUUAAACUAUAAUAUACGGGGUAAUUUGAAAAUAAGUCAGUAAUGAUAAAAGUAUUGAUAUGCAACACGCGCAAGUGCGUAGGGACCCAAGAUGGAAAUAAUCCAUCCCUCAAAACGCAAUGUUUAAGCGCGGGUCGGAUUGCAAAAUAGCGCAAAUUAUAAGGGAAAAUAAAAAAAACAAAAGGAGCGCAGAUGGGCUCAUUCAAACGCGGCGCAAAAGGGGAGGGAUUUAAUGUGCAAUUAACCCUUUUGACGCGCAAAGGCACGGGUUCACGUCUGGAAGCGGUUUGACGCGCGGAUCCCUUCCCCUGAAACGUCACCGUUUCAUUAGCUGAACAAAAACCAACCUAAAAUCCCUAAAAAAAAAACCUUCAGCCACCUAAAAACAAAUUGAAAGAAAAACCUAAUGCUCCCAACCCCCCCAUCUCUUCCUUUUCUCUUCAGCCGAAAAGGCCAUCGUCUGCUCACUCAAUCGUCGCCAUGGCCAGUGGCCGGCGCUGUGGAGAAUGAGCUUUUAAGCUCCAUCUUGAAAGACCCUCUCGAAGGCUAAACCUUCAGCAACCAAAGAGUGAGGAGAAAGGGAGUUCUCUGUCCCUUUGUCGAACCCGAUUACAACGACGGAGAAAUCACUCCGACGGCGAGAUCGAAAGGGAUUCAGGUGAGAGAUUUUUUUCUUCCUUUUUAGUUAGUUUUUUUGUUUAGACAGAUUUACAAAGAGAAAGAAAAAAAGAAAAUACAGUAAACAAAAAGAAAAAAAUGGAAAGAACCCAGAACACCUUUUUUAAUCUCUGUUUUUUUGCUUCGUAUUUGUAUUUCAAUGUGCGUAGUAUCGCGUAAAAAUUACAAUGGAUCCCUCCUUUGGCUUUAUAGCCGGAGAAAUAAAAUGAUCAAAAAAUGAAAAAUACAAUAUUCCUUGUUUUUGUUUCUUUCUUGCUGUGUGUUCGUCCUUUCUUUGUAGGUACAGGGUGCGUGGCGCUCAGGUACGGGGCUAUGCUGGCUGCUGAGAUGCUGGCAUCGUACGGAGGGUGGGCGUGGCGCGAUGUGGUUGAUGCUCGUGAAGGCUGCGGCGCGAGGACCCCUUUUGCCCUAGGGUUUGCCGAAACUUAGCUUGGCUUUCGGGCCGUUUGGGCUCGUUUUAAGUAUUGGGCUAAGUCAUUUUGUGAAUAGGCUUGUAACUUGGGUCUUGGGUCAUGUAAUCUGGACUUUGGACUGUGGUUAUUUAUUUAUUUUUAUUUUUGGUUUGUUUUUUUGUUUUUAUUUGUGUCGGGCAAAUUUGGCUCACUACACCUAUCACACGCUUGUGCAAGUGAAAGCUAAGUACUUAGAACACAAAUAUUAGUUUAAAAAUAGCAUAUAAUAAAUAAUAAAAUGUAUGGUUUGAAACUAAUUAAUCAUAAUAACAAAUGAAAUAUUUACGACAUUAAAAUUAAAAAAUUAGAUUAAAUUUUUAGUUAAACAAAAUUUAAAUGCAUAAAUACACAUCAUAUUAAGAAUACUAAAUGCAUUACAUUUGUUUAUCACAGUGUUGUCAUUAAUCGUGAGUUAAUGUCAAGUUGGCUUGAG